GGGAUACACUGCGGCGCACGCUGAAGCAGCAACGCCGCGUGAGGGAUGAAGGGCUUUUGCUCGUAAACCUCUGUUASUGAGGGAAAAAAUUUCCACUCUGUGGAAUAUGAUGGUACCUCAAAAGUAAGCCCCGGCUAACUACGUGCCAGCAGCCGCGGUAAUACGUAGGGGGCAAACGUUGUCCGGAUUUACUGGGUGUAAAGGGUGCUCAGGCGGUUUUGUAAGUCAGAAGUGAAAUCCUAGGGCUUAUCACUGGAACUGCUUUUGAUACUGCAAGGCUUGAAUGUGGAGGAAGAGGAUGGAAUUUCUGGUGUAGCAGUGAAAUGCGUAGAUAUCAUAAAGAACACCAGUGGCGAAGGCGGUCCUCUGGUCCACUAUUGACGCUGAUGAAGCAAAACGUGGGGAGCAAACAGGAUUAGAUACCCUGGUAGUCCACGCCUUAAACGAUGAAUACUAGACGUUGGGGUUAAACUCAGUGUCUGAGCUAACGCAUUAAGUAUUCCACCUGGGGAGUACGAUCGCAAGGUUGAAAC
rnacentral:rRNA from 1 species